rnacentral:rRNA from 1 species
CCUACGGGAGGCAGCAGUGGGGAAUAUUGCACAAUGGGCGAAAGCCUGAUGCAGCGACGCCGCGCGAGGGAUGACGGCCUUCGGGUUGUAAACCUCUUUCAGCAGGGAAGAAGCGAAAGUGACGGUACCUGCAGAAGAAGCGCCGGCUAACUACGUGCCAGCAGCCGCGGUAAUACGUAGGGCGCAAGCGUUGUCCGGAAUUAUUGGGCGUAAAGAGCUCGUAGGCGGCUUGUCACGUCGGGUGUGAAAGCCCGGGGCUUAACCCCGGGUCUGCAUUCGAUACGGGCUAGCUAGAGUGUGGUAGGGGAGAUCGGAAUUCCUGGUGUAGCGGUGAAAUGCGCAGAUAUCAGGAGGAACACCGGUGGCGAAGGCGGAUCUCUGGGCCAUUACUGACGCUGAGGAGCGAAAGCGUGGGGAGCGAACAGGAUUAGAUACCCUGGUAGUCCACGCCGUAAACGGUGGGAACUAGGUGUUGGCGACAUUCCACGUCGUCGGUGCCGCAGCUACGCAUUAACGUUCCCGUCCGUCGGGUAGGUACGGCCGCGACGACGUAAACUUAAACUAGUAAUUAGACGGCGUGAGACGUGCCGACGGACGACGACGAGGGAGUAGG